UACGGAGGGGGCCAGCGUUGUUCGGAAUUAUUGGGCGUAAAGGGCGCGUAGGCGGUUAUGCAAGUCGGUUGUGAAAUCCCCUGGCUUACCCAGGGAACUGCUUCCGAUACUGCAUGACUUGAGUCCGGGAGAGGAGAGUGGAAUUCCCAGUGUAGCGGUGGAAUGCGUAGAUAUUGGGAGGAACACCGGUGGCGAAGGCGGCUCUCUGGACCGGUACUGACGCUGAGGCGCGAAAGCCAGGGGAGCAAACAGG
rnacentral:rRNA from 1 species